rnacentral:lncRNA from 10 species
AGUAGCUAUUUUAGGCAAGGGAAAAUGAGAUGGUGGGACUUUCCCCAAAAGCAGGCUUGUGCCUGAUGCAGGGUGGAGGAGCCCCACGCCCUGUGGAAGGACAAACACAGCGUCAUCCACAGACGUUGCCCAUGGGUCCAGUCCAUCCAUCGGUGACUUAUGGGCAAAAGGGAAGGAAGGAAAGGAAAGAAGAUUGGUGAGCAGUGUUCUUUGCUAUUAGGCAGAACUGGCCCAGUGGGUGGCAGUCACAGAAGGGGCGGAGACCAGCUCCGCAAAAAGAGUUACUUCUCCAAGUAGUGAGCAUCCUGUCACAGAGGUUAUAUGAGCAGGGGCAGGAUGAGGAGACUGUUUUUAUUUACACUCUGAUAGGAGGAGUAGAAGUGGACCCAGACCUUGAGGAGCCUAAAAUUUUUCUGCAGAGGCAGGCGGGACCUGAUAUGGCAAGUGAACAUCAAGGCCUGCCUUGCCUCACAGGGCAGCUGGGGACCAACCCAUACGAAUCCAACAUGCGGAGGAAGCCAGAGCCGGAGCAGGAGGCAGAGACCUGAGGAUGGGCUGGAGCCUGUGUGCGGGGCUUUCUGUCACUUGCAGAGUCCUGGCUGGUACACUGAGGAGCACUAGCUUGUAUGGCAUUCUUUCCAUGAUUGGAGUUCAACGAUGGGAGACCAGGGAGAUGGAGUAGUUUGAGCUCCUGGGGAAUGAUAACAUCUGGAUCCUGAGAGGGGAGGAAAAGCAAACGCCAGCAAUGACAUAGGAUCAGAAAGGUGCUCAGCAUGGGGCUGUCUGUGGGAGGGGCCCAGGUGCUGGCACCUACGUGACUGAGGGCUUGUGGGAGGGGGAGGGAAACUGCUUUGCAACAGCAGGGGACCCAGGUGGGGUAUGUGUGGGGUAUGUCCCAGUCACCUCAGGGAAGGGGGGCAUUGAAGGGUGUGCUCAGGAUCCACCUCUUCCCCGAGUUCUCCCUUGAUGCAAGCAGCCUAGGAUCAGACUUCCUUGAAUUCUAGCUCAUCUGCCAGGGAGGCACUACUUCAGCCAGAAGACCGCCUGGAGGACUUCAUGGGGCUUCAGAACCCAGGGCACUCCUGCCACAUGUUAUCAAUGACUUUGCAGUAUUGUGAUAGUGUGUGAUACCACCCGUCAUAUGCAGUAACAAGGAGGGAGACUGACCGAACUUUGAAGGCAUCCUUCCUGUUAGAAUUUCAACUACCUCCAUAUCUAGUACAGGAGAGGGAAGUAAAUGCAGUGGAAAUCUGAUUUUUUUUUUCACUCUGUUCCCCAGGCUGGAGGGCAGUGGCACAAUCUCGGCUCACUGCAACCUCCGUCUCCUAGGUUCAAACGAUUCUCCUACCUCAGCCUCCCGGGUAGCUGGGAUUACAGGCAUGUGCCACCAUGCCCGGCUAAUUUUGUAUUUUUAGUAGAGAUGAGGUUUCUCCAUGUUGGUCAGGCUGGUCUCGAACUCCUGACCUCAGGUGAUCCAUCCGCCUUGGCCUCCCAAAGUGCUGGGAUUACAGGCAUGAGCCACCACACCUAGUCCCUGAUUUUGUUUUAUCGGCAAAUUCACUGUUGAGGGUUGGAGCAGCCUGUGAUAUCCGUGUGAGUCCAUUUGUGAAACUGAAACUUUGUAACAAGAACUAAGAUAGUUAUUGAGAAGUGCUUUGAAAAUGAUCCAAGGAAGCUUUCCAAAGUGACUCUGUCCCUGGGAAGGGAGGAAGGGACCACAAUAUGCCUGUAUCAGAUUUCUACUGCUGUGUAACAAAUGACCCCAAAACUUAGUGGCUUGAAACAACAAUGAACAUUUAUUAUUUCAUAGUUUCUGUGGGUCAGGAAUUCAGGAGUGGCUUAGCUGGGUGGUUCUGGCUCAGGGAUUUCAUGGGGUUGCAGUCAGGGUAUCAGCUGGGGUUGUGUCAUUAGAGGCUGAACUGGGGCUGGAGGAUUUACCUCUGAGGUGGUGCACCCACAUGCCUGGCAGGUUGGUGCUGGCUGUUGGUGGGAGGCCUCAGUUUCCCACCACAUGGACUCCUCUACAGAGCUGCUUAAGUGUCCUUACAACAUGGCAGUUGGCUGCUCCCGAGGAAGUGAUUCAAGGAGAGCAAGGCAGGAACCAUGUCUUUUAUGGCCUAGCCUUGGACAUCAUUUCUGCAGUCCUACUGGUUGCCAGAUGGGUCCUAUUCAGUGAAGAGGGGACUCUCCAGGAUGUGACUACUGGGGCUCACUGGGCAGCAUCUCAGAGCUGCCACCAUGCUGCUGCGUGGUUGGCCCAUCUGGAACACUUAGUCUUCAGUCACUUGGUUUGAUUCAAGAACAAAGAGUUAGAAACUCUUCACCUUUUGAAUGCAAGGAAGUAGGCUGACCCCUCAAAGUGUGCCAGACAAGCCAUUUUAAGCAUAGUUGGGUGAGAUGCAAAGAGGAAGCCUGCAUAUUCGCUGCUUACGUGAAAUGUUUGGCGCCUACUCAUGCUUUCUAUCCACAGAGUCUCACUGAUAGUUUGUCAGCCUUGCAUCCCAUCUGCCCCAUGUGGGUCCUGUGAAGCUGCUGGUCAACCUAUCCCCUGGCUUUGGGGGAAUGCAACCCAUGUCUGGCCAACUGUGGUGCCCCAUUUCCCAGUCUAGAGUUGUUGGUCCAAGAGGAGGCUCUCUCUUACUCUGAAAUCAUGAGCUGAGGGUUUACUGUGUAUGCCUGAAGCUAUCAGACAAUGAAGAAAGAAGAGAGAGAAAGAGAGAGAUUUGAGCACCUGGGUCCAGCUAUGACUGAAGCUAGCAAGACACCCAUCUUUGUUCUCUGAAAUUAUGUAAGAAAGUAAACUCCCUUUUUGGAAUUUUGCUUGUUUACUUUUGCUUAAGUUAACUUGAGCUGGAAUUUCAUCAUCACAAUUAAAAACAUCCUAACAACUUAUCCCUUGAA